rnacentral:tRNA from 1 species
AUUUAUAUAGUUUAAUUAAAAACUAUAUAUUUUCAAUGUAUAAAUAAUCUUUUGAUUUAUAAAUA